UAGACCUGGCGGCAUGCUAACCAUGCUGUCGAACGGUAACGGGCAGAAGCUUGCUUCUGCGCCGACGAGUGGCGGACGGGUGAGUAACGCGUGGGGAUCUGCCCUUUGGCGGAGGACAACUCGGGGAAACCCGAGCUAAUACUGCAUAGGUUCUACGGAACAAAGCUGGGGAUCUUUGGACCUGGCACCAAAGGAUGAGCCCGCGUUGGAUUAGUUUGUUGGUGGGGUAAUGGCUCACCAAGGCGACGAUCCAUAGCUGGUCUGAGAGGAUGAUCAGCCACACUGGGACUGAGACACGGCCCAGACUCCUACGGGAGGCAGCAGUGGGGAAUAUUGGACAAUGGGCGCAAGCCUGAUCCAGCAAUGCCGCGUGUGUGAAGAAGGCCUGCGGGCUGUAAAGCACUUUUAUGAAGGAAGAACGCUACUCGGUUAAGAGCUAGGUGGCUUGACGGUACUUCAGGAAUAAGCACCGGCUAACUCAGUGCCAGCAGCCGCGGUAAUACUGAGGGUGCGAGCGUUAAUCGGAAUUACUGGAGCGUAAAGCGUGCGUAAGCGGCUUUGUCAGUCGGAUGUG
rnacentral:rRNA from 1 species